rnacentral:lncRNA from 1 species
GGGGAUUGUGGAUGGGGGUGGCAGCGGAUGGAUCAACGAUGAAAAAGGGAAACAGGAACAAUCUAAACAAGCAACCAGACUCAACCUAGGAAACAAACUCAGAACUGCGAACUCCGAAUCCAAAUUGUGCAAAGGCUAAACAAAAGGUUGUAGGAUAGGAAACUAUGACUACAAAUUUUUUUUGCCUUUUUCAUGGACUGUGGGGAUGAAGGAGAAACAAACUAAACUAGGGUAAGCUUGACGGUAAUAUCUCUAAUUACCACUUGAUGGGAACUAGGGUGCCCGAUCUUCCAUCAGGUAAGGAUAACUCUUGAUUUCGUGGAGUAGCAACACACUCGAUCCGGCUUCUGAUCAGCAAAAUCCGAACCCCGCAAUCGAAGCACCACUUCUCCUCUAGUUAUCAACCGUGUGCAGCCUGGUUGACCUCGUCAUGAAGGCUACCUCCUGCAAGUGAAUCAAGAACACAAGCAAUUGCAAGGAAGAACGCAACUCAAUUGCAAAAACUUUGGAUUAAGCAUACAAAGUUGGGGUCUCACAAACCGAUGAACGGCGACUGUCAAUGACAGCUUGAAUCUAAGAAAAAACUAAACCGUAACUUGGCCGACUCUACUGAAUAUAAAGUGCGCUCCUAAUGGGCUCCA